ACUCAACCAGAUGCAAAAACAAAAAGAAGUUUGAUAUCUCCUGAUAAAGAAUACAAAUUACGCAUACAAAUCCGAAUCCAGGUCAAGCAGAACAAACCAAAACCAAAUCCAAUAAUGAAACAGAUAACGCAGGUCCUAUAAUUUCUAAUCAAAAUUAAAAUUUUACAUAUAAUGCCAUAACAAAGGCAAAAAUUAACAAUAAUACAGAAAAAACCCAAGAAAUAUCAAAAAAAAAAUACAAA
rnacentral:misc_RNA from 1 species